GAAGACUCACUAAAGUACAUUGUGGGCCAGGAGCUGGCUCCAGAAAGAGAUGUUCAAAGAUAAAGCUGAGUUUCUUCAGUACGUAUUGUGUUCUCUGGCAUUGGCAGCAUCUAAUCUUGACGUGGAAGACACUUGGGUGUUUUACAGCUGUUGCAGAGUAAGAAGUGUCAACUUCAUUGGACAUGAAGGAGAAAUCUCAAACAGAGCGGGAAGCAAUUAUGUAUUCAAGGUCAGGCAGAGCAAGAAACAUGCAUCAGAGCCCCCACCUGAGGCAGAUUCACUCUUCUUUGCUGUUGAAUAGCCAGAAUUCAUCUUUGAAAAAUUUACUGUGAAAAUAAAAACAACUGUCAAAUGAAGAAAAUAAAACACAGAGUACUCAACUGUUUUGUCAGGCAUAGAAAUUAAAUUUUAAGUCUGUUGUACUUUUGAUGAAAGUAUGCACAUAUGGGCUCAGAGCUUAUCAAAUUGUGACAAAUUUUGUGUUUGUUUAAG
rnacentral:lncRNA from 1 species